rnacentral:rRNA from 1 species
GUGCCAGCCGCCGCGGUAAUACCGGCAGCCCAAGUGAUGGCCGCUGUUAUUGGGCCUAAAGCGUCCGUAGCUGGCCGCACGAGUCCGUCGGGAAAUCCGCCCGCUCAACGGGCGGCCGUCCGGCGGAACCUGUGUGGCUUGGGACCGGGAGGCCUGAGGGGUACGAUCGGGGUAGGAGUGAAAUCCUGUAAUCCUGGACGGACCACCAAUGGGGAAACCACCUCAGGAAGACGGACCCGACGGUGAGGGACGAAAGCUAGGGUCUCGAACCGGAUUAGAAACCCCAGUAGUCC